rnacentral:rRNA from 1 species
UACGUAGGGGGCAAGCGUUGUCCGGAUUUAUUGGGCGUAACGAGCGUGUAGGCGGUCAGGUAGGUCCGUUGUGAAAACUCGAGGCUCAACCUCGAGACGCCGAUGGAAACCAUCUGGCUAGAGUCCGGAAGAGGAGAGUGGAAUUCCUGGUGUAGCGGUGAAAUGCGCAGAUAUCAGGAAGAACACCCGUGGCUAAGGCGGCUCUCUAGUACGGUACUGACGCUGAGACGCGAAAGCGUGGGGAGCGAACAGG